GGGUAGCGGAGAAAUUCCAAUCGAACUUGGAGAUAGCUGGUUCUCUCCGAAAUAGCUUUAGGGCUAGCCUCAAGUGAUGAUUAUUGGAGGUAGAGCACUGUUUGGACGAGGGGCCCCUCUCGGGUUACCGAAUUCAGACAAACUCCGAAUGCCAAAUAAUUUAACUUGGGAGUCAGAAUGUGGGUGAUAAGGUCCAUAUUCGAAAGGGAAACAGCCCAGACCACCAGCUAAGGUCCCAAAAUAUAUGUUAAGUGGAAAAGGAUGUGGCGUUGCCCAGACAACUAGGAUGUUGGCUUAGAAGCAGCCAUCAUUUAAAGAGUGCGUAAUAGCUCACUAGUCGAGUGACACUGCGCCGAAAAUGUACCGGGGCUAAACAUAUUACCGAAGCUGUGGAUUGUCCUUUGGACAAUGGUAGGAGAGCGUUCUAAGGGCGUUGAAGCAUGAUCGCAAGGACAUGUGGAGCGCUUAGAAGUGAGAAUGCCGGUGUGAGUAGCGAAAGACGGGUGAGAAUCCCGUCCACCGAUUGACUAAGGUUUCCAGAGGAAGGCUCGUCCGCUCUGGGUUAGUCGGGUCCUAAGCUGAGGCCGACAGGCGUAGGCGAUGGAUAACAGGUUGAUAUUCCUGUACCACCAUUAUUCGUUUUAAGCGAUGGGGGGACGCAGUAGGAUAGGCGAAGCGUGCUGUUGGAGUGCACGUCCAAGCAGUGAGAUUGA
rnacentral:rRNA from 1 species